rnacentral:rRNA from 1 species
GGCAGCCGCCGCGGGAACACCGGCAGCUCUAGUGGUAGCUGUUUUAUUGGGCCUAAAGCGUUCGUAGCCGGUUUAAUAAGUCUCUGGUGAAAUCCUAUAGCUUAACUGUGGGGAUUGCUGGAGAUACUAUUAGACUUGAGAUCGGGAGAGGUUAGAGGUACUCCUGGGGUAGGGGUGAAAUCCUGUAAUCCUAGGAGGACCACCUGUGGCGAAGGCGUCUGACUAGAACGAAUCUGACGGUGAGGAACGAAAGCUAGGGGCGCGAACCGGAUUAGAUACCCGGGUAGUCCUAGCCGUAAACUAUGCGGACUUGGCGUGAGGGUGGCUUUGAGCCGUCCUGGUGCCGAAGGGAAGCUGUUAAGUCCGCCGCCUGGGAAGUACGGUCGCAAGACUGAAACUUAAAGGAAUUGGCGGGGGAGCACCACAACGCGUGGAGCCCUGCGGUUUAAUUGGAUUCAACGCCGGAGAUCUCACCAGCGGCGACAGCAGUAUGAUUACCAGGUUGAUGACCUUGUUUGACAAGCUGAGAGGAGGUGCAUGG